rnacentral:rRNA from 1 species
UACAGAGGUCUCAAGCGUUGUUCGGAUUCAUUGGGCGUAAAGGGUGCGUAGGCGGCGCGGUAAGUCGGGUGUGAAAUUUCGAGGCUUAACUUCGAAACUGCAUUCGAUACUGCCGUGCUAGAGGACUGGAGAGGAGACUGGAAUUUACGGUGUAGCGGUGAAAUGCGUAGAUAUCGUAAGGAAGACCAGUGGCGAAAGCGGCGUGCUGGACCACUUCUGACGCUGAGGCGCGAAGGCCAGGGGAGCAAACGGG